rnacentral:rRNA from 1 species
GAGAGACUGGAUUUAUCAAGUCCGGUUAUGUGCUCUAACCUGCUGUAUCAUGUGACCUUGCUCAGAUGAAAAAACAGCAGAGAGCGCCCCUGUUGAGAGUCGAGCGAGAGAAGCACGUCCCGGCCCGAUCCCCAAUCUUCCCCGGCGGUGAUGCCGGCUGGAGGAGAGAAAGGGAAAGGAGCCCGGAGGAGCUAUGUAUAUAUUAAGUCUAAGUUGAGUCUUGCCCAUGUGGCGUCUGGCGCUAUGCCGAGGUGGAGAGUACCGCCGCCGUGUUAGAGCAGCGGCCGGUGGUUAGCGGUGGCUCCAGUCCUGGCUACGCUGGUGUGCCAGUUGCUUGUGAGGAGUGGGUUGCCGGCGACUCCACGAAUAAGCUCAUUUGGUCCGCUGAUCUGCAAGAGGUCCUUAUUCUCCUCUGCUUCCAAGGUUACCGUGGUGGUGAAGGAGGAAGAGAGGAAAGAUGGAGAUCCAGUUCGGGUUCGAGCUCAUCACCGACGAAGACCAUGGAUGUCCUAUGGCUCCCGUUGUUGCGGUCGAUGCCGGCCGUCGCCGUCGAAUCCUCUGACUGAAUGGCGGUCUUUCUUCUUCCUCCCGGCCAAGAGUCAGAUGGGAGGCACUGCAGCUUCAUGCUGGAGUUCAUGGCGUGGUGCCAUGGAGGGCUCGCCGCACCAAGUGGUGCCGUCCCCGGUGAAGACGAGUCAAGUUUCAUGCUGGAGUUGGUAGGGACCCGAUUGCUUUUUUCAUCAAUUUUCUGGGGUCCUCUUUGUUAAAGUCAGGGACCGGUUAGUGUUUUCCUUUUUCGUUCAGGGUCCUGAUGUAAAAUCGUUGUGUACUACUCCUUUCUAAUCAAUGCAGCUUCGGGGUCCUUCUGGGCCCUUAGUUUGUUCAAAAAAAA